AAGGAAGUGACAGAGUGGCAUUGUGGCUGACUUGAAAUCAGUUCAGGGGGGUUCGAGUCCUUCCUUCCUCG
rnacentral:tRNA from 1 species